rfam:Schistosoma rodhaini strain Burundi genome assembly, scaffold: SROB_scaffold0003051
CUCCAGCUGACGAGUCCCAAAUAGGACGAAACGCGCGUCCUGGAU